AUUGAACGCUGGCGGCAGGCUUAACACAUGCAAGUCGAGCGGAGUGAUGGUGCUUGCACCAUCACUUAGCGGCGGACGGGUGAGUAAUGCUUAGGAAUCUGCCUAUUAGUGGGGGACAACAUCUCGAAAGGGAUGCUAAUACCGCAUACGUCCUACGGGAGAAAGCAGGGGAUCACUUGUGACCUUGCGCUAAUAGAUGAGCCUAAGUCGGAUUAGCUAGUUGGUGGGGUAAAGGCCUACCAAGGCGACGAUCUGUAGCGGGUCUGAGAGGAUGAUCCGCCACACUGGGACUGAGACACGGCCCAGACUCCUACGGGAGGCAGCAGUGGGGAAUAUUGGACAAUGGGGGGAACCCUGAUCCAGCCAUGCCGCGUGUGUGAAGAAGGCCUUAUGGUUGUAACGCACUUUAAGCGAGGAGGAGGCUCUUUUGGUUAAUACCCAAGAUGAGUGGACGUUACUCGCAGAAUAAGCACCGGCUAACUCUGUGCCAGCAGCCGCCGUAAGAC
rnacentral:rRNA from 1 species